AUUGAACGCUGGCGGCAUGCCUUACACAUGCAAGUCGAACGGCAGCACGGGAGCAAUCCUGGUGGCGAGUGGCGAACGGGUGAGUAAAGUAUCGGAACGUGCCCAGUCGUGGGGGAUAACGUAGCGAAAGUUACGCUAAUACCGCAUACGAUCUAUGGAUGAAAGCGGGGGAUCGCAAGACCUCGCGCGAUUGGAGCGGCCGAUAUCAGAUUAGGUAGUUGGUGGGGUAAAGGCUCACCAAGCCGACGAUCUGUAGCUGGUCUGAGAGGACGACCAGCCACACUGGGACUGAGACACGGCCCAGACUCCUACGGGAGGCAGCAGUGGGGAAUUUUGGACAAUGGGCGCAAGCCUGAUCCAGCAAUGCCGCGUGCAGGAAGAAGGCCUUCGGGUCGUAAACUGCUUUUGUACGGAACGAAACGGUCCUGGUUAAUACCCGGGGCUAAUGACGGUACCGUAAGAAUAAGCACCGGCUAACUACGUGCCAGCAGCCGCCGUAAGAC
rnacentral:rRNA from 1 species